rnacentral:rRNA from 1 species
CCUACGGGGGACUGCAGUGAGGAAUAUUGGUCAAUGGACGAGAGUCUGAACCAGCCAAGUAGCGUGAAGGAUGACUGCCCUAUGGGUUGUAAACUUCUUUUAUAUGGGAAUAAAAUGUUCCACGUGUGGGAUUUUGUAUGUACCAUAUGAAUAAGGAUCGGCUAACUCCGUGCCAGCAGCCGCGGUAAUACGGAGGAUCCGAGCGUUAUCCGGAUUUAUUGGGUUUAAAGGGAGCGUAGGUGGAUUGUUAAGUCAGUUGUGAAAGUUUGCGGCUCAACCGUAAAAUUGCAGUUGAAACUGGCAGUCUUGAGUACAGUAGAGGUGGGCGGAAUGCGUGGUGUAGCGGUGAAAUGCUUAGAUAUCACGAAGAACUCCGAUUGCGAAGGCAGUUCACUGGACUGCAACUGACACUGAGGCUCGAAAGUGUGGGUAUCAAACAGGAUUAGAUACCCGGGUAGUC